UACGGAGGGUGCAAGCGUUAAUCGGAAUUACUGGGCGUAAAGCGUGCGCAUGCGGUUUGUUAAGUCUGCUGUGAAAUCCCCGAGCUCAACUUGGGAAUUGCAGUGGAUACUGGCAGGCUGGAGUAUGGUAGAGGAAGGUGGAAUUCCCGGUGUAGCAGUGAAAUGCGUAGAGAUCGGGAGGAACACCAGUGGCGAAGGCGGCCUUCUGGACCAAUACUGACGCUCAUGCACGAAAGCGUGGGGAGCAAACAGG
rnacentral:rRNA from 1 species